rnacentral:rRNA from 1 species
AUGACAGAAACAGUUCCCACAGGCCCCUGCUGGCUGCAACCUGAUGCUCACGAGUUCAAAAUGAACGUGGAUGCCGGCCUGGCUAGGAACGGCUCAAAGGGGGUUGCAGCGGUAAUAUGCAGGGACAAGAGUGGCAAAUACUUGGGCGCCUCAGCCGUCGUCUUUGAGGGGCUCGUCGAUCCUGCGACACUUGAAGCCCAAGCGUGCAAGGAGGCUAUGGAUUUGGCUACAGAUCUUCAUCUCGACUCGUUGUGUAUUGCUUCAGACUGCCUAGAAGUGGUGGCCAAUAUCACAUCUGAGACCACCUGCCGGUACGCGACUAUCUUACGAGAGAUCAACUUUCAACGGAGUUUGUUCCGAGAUGUUAAAUUUAUCCAUGAGUAUCGUCAGUUUAAUGUUGAGGCCCAUAACCUCGCCAAAGCGGCAUCCUCUCUCUCUACCGGGCGCCAUGUUUGGCUCUUAGAUUUGCCCGAGAUUAUUUGUAUUCCUAUGAACAUUUGCAAUUAA